GAUGAACGCUAGCUACAGGCUUAACACAUGCAAGUCGAGGGGCAGCAUUUCAGUUUGCUUGCAAACUGGAGAUGGCGACCGGCGCACGGGUGAGUAACACGUAUCCAACCUGCCGAUAACUCGGGGAUAGCCUUUCGAAAGAAAGAUUAAUACCCGAUGGUAUAAUCAGACCGCAUGGCCUUGUUAUUAAAGAAUUUCGGUUAUCGAUGGGGAUGCGUUCCAUUAGGCAGUUGGUGAGGUAACGGCUCACCAAACCUUCGAUGGAUAGGGGUUCUGAGAGGAAGGUCCCCCACAUUGGAACUGAGACACGGUCCAAACUCCUACGGGAGGCAGCAGUGAGGAAUAUUGGUCAAUGGGCGCAGGCCUGAACCAGCCAAGUAGCGUGAAGGAUGACUGCCCUAUGGGUUGUAAACUUCUUUUAUAUGGGAAUAAAGUUUUCCACGUGUGGAAUUUUGUAUGUACCAUAUGAAUAAGGAUCGGCUAACUCCGUGCCAGCAGCCGCGGUAAUACGGAGGAUCCGAGCGUUAUCCGGAUUUAUUGGGUUUAAAGGGAGCGUAGGUGGACAGUUAAGUCAGUUGUGAAAGUUUGCGGCUCAACCGUAAAAUUGCAGUUGAUACUGGCUGUCUUGAGUACAGUAGAGGUGGGCGGAAUUCGUGGUGUAGCGGUGAAAUGCUUAGAUAUCACGAAGAACUCCGAUUGCGAAGGCAGCUCACUGGACUGCAACUGACACUGAUGCUCGAAAGUGUGGGUAUCAAACAGGAUUAGAUACCCUGGUAGUCCACACAGUAAACGAUGAAUACUCGCUGUUUGCGAUAUACAGUAAGCGGCCAAGCGAAAGCAUUAAGUAUUCCACCUGGGGAGUACGCCGGCAACGGUGAAACUCAAAGGAAUUGACGGGGGCCCGCACAAGCGGAGGAACAUGUGGUUUAAUUCGAUGAUACGCGAGGAACCUUACCCGGGCUUAAAUUGCAUUUGAAUAUAUUGGAAACAGUAUAGCCGUAAGGCAAAUGUGAAGGUGCUGCAUGGUUGUCGUCAGCUCGUGCCGUGAGGUGUCGGCUUAAGUGCCAUAACGAGCGCAACCCUUAUCUUUAGUUACUAACAGGUCAUGCUGAGGACUCUAGAGAGACUGCCGUCGUAAGAUGUGAGGAAGGUGGGGAUGACGUCAAAUCAGCACGGCCCUUACGUCCGGGGCUACACACGUGUUACAAUGGGGGGUACAGAAGGCAGCUACCUGGUGACAGGAUGCUAAUCCCAAAAGCCUCUCUCAGUUCGGAUCGAAGUCUGCAACCCGACUUCGUGAAGCUGGAUUCGCUAGUAAUCGCGCAUCAGCCAUGGCGCGGUGAAUACGUUCCCGGGCCU
rnacentral:rRNA from 1 species